rnacentral:rRNA from 1 species
CGCCUCUUGCAUUAUAUGUAUAAGAGGUCCCGCCUGCCCUGUGACUAUAUGUUUAACGGCCGCGGUAUUUUGACCGUGCAAAGGUAGCGCAAUCACUUGUCUUUUAAAUAAAGACCUGUAUGAAUGGCAUAACGAGGGCUUAACUGUCUCCUUCUCCCGGUCAAUGAAAUUGAUCUCCCCGUGCAGAAGCGGGGAUAUUAUUAUAAGACGAGAAGACCCUGUGGAGCUUUAAAUAAUGAGAGAUUUUAUGCAAUUAACCUAAAAAGAGUAGAAGCAAAUUUACCCUCUCUCUGAUAUUUUUGGUUGGGGCGACCGCGGAGUAAAGAGAAACCUCCGUGAGGAAUGAGGUAACUAACCUUAAAUCCCAGAACGACAAUUCAAAGAAGCAAAAUUUUUGACCUAAAGAUCCGGCAAAGCCGAUCAACGAACCUAGUUACCCCAGGGAUAACAGCGCAAUCCCCUUCAAGAGUCCCUAUCGACAAGGGGGUUUACGACCUCGAUGUUGGAUCAGGAUAUCCUAAUGGUGUAGCCGCUAUUAAGGGUUCGUUUGUUCAACGAUUAAAAUCCU